GUGGGGAAUUUUGGACAAUGGGCGAAAGCCUGAUCCAGCAAUGCCGCGUGCAGGAUGAAGGCCUUCGGGUUGUAAACUGCUUUUGUACGGAACGAAAAGCUUCGGGUUAAUACCCUGGAGCCAUGACGGUACCGUAAGAAUAAGCACCGGCUAACUACGUGCCAGCAGCCGCGGUAAUACGUAGGGUGCAAGCGUUAAUCGGAAUUACUGGGCGUAAAGCGUGCGCAGGCGGUUUUGUAAGACAGAGGUGAAAUCCCCGGGCUCAACCUGGGAACUGCCUUUGUGACUGCAAGGCUGGAGUACGGCAGAGGGGGAUGGAAUUCCGCGUGUAGCAGUGAAAUGCGUAGAUAUGCGGAGGAACACCGAUGGCGAAGGCAAUCCCCUGGGCCUGUACUGACGCUCAUGCACGAAAGCGUGGGGAGCAAACAGGAUUAGAAACCCGAGUAGUCC
rnacentral:rRNA from 1 species